rnacentral:rRNA from 1 species
GGCGAAACAUGCAGUCGAGCGAGCUUGCCUAGAUGAUUUUAGUGCUUGCACUAAAUGAAACUAGAUACAAGCGAGCGGCGGACGGGUGAGUAACACGUGGGUAACCUGCCCAAGAGACUGGGAUAACACCUGGAAACAGAUGCUAAUACCGGAUAACAACACUAGACGCAUGUCUAGAGUUUGAAAGAUGGUUCUGCUAUCACUCUUGGAUGGACCUGCGGUGCAUUAGCUAGUUGGUAAGGUAACGGCUUACCAAGGCAAUGAUGCAUAGCCGAGUUGAGAGACUGAUCGGCCACAUUGGGACUGAGACACGGCCCAAACUCCUACGGGAGGCAGCAGUAGGGAAUCUUCCACAAUGGACGAAAGUCUGAUGGAGCAACGCCGCGUGAGUGAAGAAGGGUUUCGGCUCGUAAAGCUCUGUUGGUAGUGAAGAAAGAUAGAGGUAGUAACUGGCCUUUAUUUGACGGUAAUUACUUAGAAAGUCACGGCUAACUACGUGCCAGCAGCCGCGGUAAUACGUAGGUGGCAAGCGUUGUCCGGAUUUAUUGGGCGUAAAGCGAGUGCAGGCGGUUCAAUGAGUCUGAUGUGAAAGCCUUCGGCUCAACCGGAGAAUUGCAUCAGAAACUGUUGAACUUGAGUGCAGAAGAGGAGAGUGGAACUCCAUGUGUAGCGGUGGAAUGCGUAGAUAUAUGGAAGAACACCAGUGGCGAAGGCGGCUCUCUGGUCUGCAACUGACGCUGAGGCUCGAAA